UCCUACGGGGGGCAGCAGUGAGGAAUAUUGGUCAAUGGGCUUACGCCUGAACCAGCCAAGUCGCGUGAGGGAAGACUGCCCUAUGGUUUGUAAACCUCUUUUGUCAGGGAGCAACGCCGGCUACGUGUAGCCGGACUGAGAGUACCUGAAGAAAAAGCAUCUGCUAACUCCGUGCCAGCAGCCGCGGUAAUACGGAGGAUGCGAGCGUUAUCCAGAUUUAUUGUGUUUAAAGGGUGCGUAGGCGGAAUGCCACGUCAGCGGUAAAAUCGCGGGGCUCAACCUCGCUCCGCCGUU
rnacentral:rRNA from 1 species